AUUAUUAUUCAACAAAAAAUCAUUUUUGGAAAAAUGAGAAAACCAAUUUCUGGUGUGAACCUUUCUUGCCCGACCCCCUCUCUUUCCCUUAACCUCUUCAUUUUUGAUUUCUUUCAAAUUGAAAGAAAACUUUUGAUUUAGAGUGGAUUAUGGGUGAAUUCUUGCUUGAAACUUGUGGAGAUUGCGGAAAGGGUAAAUCAGUUUGUGAUCAGUCAUGAGUUCGAGGGCUUGGCGGUGUAUUGUACAUGUUUAAACUAAAAUAGACCAUAUGAAACUCAAACUAAAAUCAAGGCAGAGAUAAAAACCGCUCUGAUACCAACUGUUAGACUUUUAUAUGUAUAAACUGAAAUGUAUAUGUUUAAGUAUUAAGUGCGGAAUUAAUCAAACAUAUAUACACUAUGAAUAAGGAUCGAAAUACCUCCAGCCAUUGAAUCUUGAGCUUCAAACCCACAUAAGCUUUGAUCUGCAAAGGAAAUUGACUACCAUGGGUAAUCGGGCUUCCUCGCUCUCUCAACUCUCUUUAGAUGGAAUUUGCUGUUAUGAACAGAAUGAGUGAGGAGCUCGGGGACCGAGACCCUAUAUUUAUAGGUGAGAUACUCCAUCAAGCAUUCGUGCCACAUUAAUUGUCAGAAUAUUUUGACAAUUAAUUCAGAAAAUCAAAUCAGGUAAUGAAUAUAGAAAUCUGACCAUAUAUAGAAUAUUACGUAAUUGAUUCUGUCCAGAUUCAAUGAAUAUAAAAUAUUCAUUUAUCAGAAUCAAUAAUAUUAUUUUAUUUCCUUAAUUAGAAAUAUUCUAAUACGGGCCACACUAGACCACGCGGAUUGGGUCUACCGAAUGAAGUAUUUUGUAUUCUGAGUUUUUGUUGCCUAAGACAGCAUGUAAAGAUGACUUGUAAUGUUUUGUGAAAGUUUUUACGGGAUCUCGAAACAUGUAUACUCUUUUGGAAUGUUUGUAAAAUUAAAUAAUUACAAGUUAUAUUUUCACUA